rnacentral:sRNA from 1 species
GGAGACAAUUGUGUAUCACGCUUCGUGUC